rnacentral:lncRNA from 1 species
AUGUGCACUGUCAGUGAUACCUUGGCUUAUGAACUUAAUUUGUUUUACAGUUUGGGGAAGAUGGCUGUGUUUGUCUUUGCGUGGAGAAGAUGGCCGUGGUCGCGUUUGUCACCCAAUGCAGAGUUUGUGAAUGGAAGCAAAAUUUUGCUGAACACUUUUGUUUGCAAACCAAAACGUGUGCAAAGAAAAGUGUUCGAGAGCCGAGAUUCGGCAUUGUGUGGCUUCUGGCUCUUCCCCAAAGUCAAAAUGACCAUGAAAAGUAAAUGUUUUGAAUCCACUGAGGACAUGGAAGUAGCCACAAUGGCAUAA